GACGAACGCUGGCGGCGUGCUUAACACAUGCAAGUCGAACGAUGAAGCCGGAGCUUGCUCUGGUGAAUUAGUGGCGAACGGGUGAGUAACACGUGAGUAACCUGCCCUUGACUCUGGGAUAACUGCUAGAAAUGGUAGCUAAUACCGGAUACGACCCUCGGCGGCAUCGCCAGGGGGUGGAAAGAAUUUCGGUGAAGGAUGGACUCGCGGCCUAUCAGCUAGUUGGUGAGGUAACGGCUCACCAAGGCGACGACGGGUAGCCGGCCUGAGAGGGUGACCGGCCACACUGGGACUGAGACACGGCCCAGACUCCUACGGGAGGCAGCAGUGGGGAAUAUUGCACAAUGGGCGCAAGCCUGAUGCAGCAACGCCGCGUGAGGGAUGACGGCCUUCGGGUUGUAAACCUCUUUUAGUAGGGAAGAAGCGAAAGUGACGGUACCUGCAGAAAAAGCACCGGCUAACUUCGUGCCAGCAGCCGCGGUAA
rnacentral:rRNA from 1 species